rnacentral:rRNA from 1 species
UACGUAGGCAGCGAGCGUUGUUCGGAGUUACUGGGCGUAAAGAGUGCGUAGGCGGUCUUCUAAGUUUGGUGUGAAAUCUCCCGGCUUAACUGGGAGGGUGCGCCGAAAACUGGAAGGCUUGAGUAUGGGAGAGGUAAGCGGAAUUCCUGGUGUAGCGGUGAAAUGCGUAGAUAUCAGGAGGAACACCUGCGGUGUAGACGGCUUACUGGACCAUAACUGACGCUGAGGCACGAAAGCGUGGGUAGCAAACAGG